rnacentral:rRNA from 1 species
UACGGAGGAUCCAAGCGUUAUCCGGAUUUAUUGGGUUUAAAGGGUGCGCAGGCGGAAGAUUAAGUCGGCGGUGAAAUUUUGCAGCUCAACUGUAAAAGUGCCAUCGAUACUGGUUUUCUUGAGUGUGGAUGAAGUAGGCGGAAUUUGUGGUGUAGCGGCGAAAUGCAUAGAUAUCACGAGGAACUCCGAUUGCGCAGGCAGCUUACUAGGCCAUAACUGACACUCAGGCACGAAGGCGUGGGGAUCAAACAGGAUUAGAUACCCGU